ACGCAGGAGGUGGGUAGUGU
rnacentral:misc_RNA from 1 species